CCCCCUAAUUAACUAACAGUUACAACUUACAAUUGUGUGAUCACUCAAGAUGCUGAAUCUUUUCUUUCCAGAUGUAAUUAGCAUGCAGAACAGGUUAAACAUCCUAGCACACAACAAAAUCAAGUGUUUAAUGCUGGCACCGAAAUACUAAAAUGUGAAGUAUACUUAUCCGAUGGACGUGUUGUUUUUGCCCAAUAUACAUUGCUGGCACCGAAAAGCUUUUUUAUCUGCAUAAAAUACUCAGUGAAACAUUUGACGUAGAGCAUUAAAAUAAAAUUUUGAAUAAAAAAGACAUUUCAUUAAUUAACAUAAUUUAAAUAGGUCAUUGUUGGACUAACCUGACUCAAGAAGUAAGAACCCACUGCAUCUCUUG
rnacentral:lncRNA from 1 species